GAUGAACGCUGGCGGCGUGCCUAAUACAUGCAAGUCGAGCGAACAGACGAGGAGCUUGCUCCUCUGACGUUAGCGGCGGACGGGUGAGUAACACGUGGAUAACCUACCUAUAAGACUGGGAUAACUUCGGGAAACCGGAGCUAAUACCGGAUAAUAUAUUGAACCGCAUGGGUCAAUAGUGAAAUACGGUUUUGCUGUCACUUAUAGAUGGAUCCGCGCCGCAUUAGCUAGUUGGUAAGGUAACGGCUUACCAAGGCGACGAUGCGUAGCCGACCUGAGAGGGUGAUCGGCCACACGGGAGCUGAGACACGGUCCAGACUCCUACGGGAGGCAGCAGUAGGGAAUCUUCCGCAAUGGGCGAAAGCCUGACGGAGCAACGCCGCGUGAGUGAUGAAGGUCUUCGGAUCGUAAAACUCUGUUAUUAGGGAAGAACAAAUGUGUAAGUAACUAUGCACGUCUUGACGGUACCUAAUCAGAAAGCCACGGCUAACUACGUG
rnacentral:rRNA from 1 species